rnacentral:siRNA from 1 species
CGGUCCAACAACCAGAGAUGGUU